UACGGGGGGGGCAAGCGUUGUUCGGAAUUACUGGGCGUAAAGGGCUCGUAGGUGGCCAACUAAGUCAGACGUGAAAUCCCUCGGCUUAACCGGGGAACUGCGUCUGAUACUGGAUGGCUUGAGUUUGGGAGAGGGACGCGGAAUUCCAGGUGUAGCGGUGAAAUGCGUAGAUAUCGGGAGGAACACCAAUGGCGAAGGCAGCUCGCUGGGACGUGACUGACGCUGAGACGCGAAAGCGUGGGGAGCAAACAGG
rnacentral:rRNA from 1 species